GUGUCAGCCGCCGCGGUAAAACGUAGGAUCCGAGCGUUAUCCGAAUUCACUGGGCGUAAAGCGCGUGCAGGCGGUCCGGUAAGUUGGAUGUGAAAUCUCCUGGCUCAACUGGGAGAGGACGUUCAAUACUGUCGGACUCGAGGACGGUAGAGGGAGGUAGAAUUCCCGGUGUAGUGGUGAAAUGCGUAGAUAUCGGGAGGAAUACCAGUGGCGAAGGCGGCCUCCUGGACCGUUCCUGACGCUCAGACGCGAAAGCUAGGGGAGCAAACGGGAUUAGAAACCCCCGUAGUCC
rnacentral:rRNA from 1 species